AAGAGAUUACAGCUUUUAUGGACAAUCCUUGAAUUGAAUUUGAAUUUGAUAUUAAUACUAGCAUAGAUUUGAAAGAAAUGAAUCAAGUUUAUGUUCGGUUGAGACUGCUAGGUUAUAAGCAUUUCGAUUCUAUUUUACUUACAUUGUGUAUUUCUUUUGUUUUGGUUCUCAUGCCCAUUGGAUCAUUUUCUUUUUCCCUUGCAUGAUUAGAUUUCCA
rnacentral:misc_RNA from 1 species